rnacentral:misc_RNA from 1 species
UAAUAAGUGUUUUAUGGCACUUUUUAAAUCCAUAUCCACCUUGUGUGCAAUGUCAGUCGAUCUUCUUCAUGGAGAUCGACCAAACAUCAACCUUUAUCUUUUAACUCUUUGUCUGAAAACUAUUAUGAAUAAACAAUUCAAAUA